ACCAAUUAAAAAUAUUGCAUAUUUACCCUUUGGAGCUGGUCCUCGAGUUUGCAUCGGAAUGAGGUUUGCCAUAAUGGAAAUGAAACUUGGCUUGUCGAAAAUAAUAGAAAAUUUCUCCAUAAAACUAGGGGAAAAAGCAAAAUUCCCUGUGGAAUUUAAUAAAAGAAGCUUUUUUUUGUCAGCAUCUCAUGGCUACUUAAAAAUGACAAAGAUUAAAAGUAAUAUACAUCAAUAAAGCAUAAAAGGUU